rnacentral:misc_RNA from 1 species
GAUGAAGAACGCAGCGAAAUGCGAUAAGUAAUGUGAAUUGCAGAAUUCAGUGAAUCAUCGAAUCUUUGAACGCACAUUGCGCCCCCUGGUAUUCCGGGGGGCAUGCCUGUUCGAGCGUCAUUUCACCACUCAAGCCUCGCUUGGUGUUGGGCAACGCGGUCCGCCGCGUGCCUCAAAUCGACCGGCUGGGUCUUCUGUCCCCUAAGCGUUGUGGAAACUAUUCGCUAAAGGGUGCUCGGGAGGCUACGCCGUAAAACAAACCCAUUUCUAAGGUUGACCUCGGAUCAGGUAGGGAUACCCGCUGAACUUAAGCAUAUCAAUAAGCGGAGGA